AGUGGGGAAUUUUGGACAAUGGGCGAAAGCCUGAUCCAGCAAUGCCGCGUGUGUGAAGAAGGCCUUCGGGUUGUAAAGCACUUUUGUCCGGAAAGAAAUGGCUCUGGUUAAUACCUGGGGUCGAUGACGGUACCGGAAGAAUAAGGACCGGCUAACUACGUGCCAGCAGCCGCGGUAAUACGUAGGGUCCAAGCGUUAAUCGGAAUUACUGGGCGUAAAGCGUGCGCAGGCGGUUGUGCAAGACCGAUGUGAAAUCCCCGAGCUUAACUUGGGAAUUGCAUUGGUGACUGCACGGCUGGAGUGUGGCAGAGGGGGGUGGAAUUCCACGUGUAGCAGUGAAAUGCGUAGAGAUGUGGAGGAAUACCGAUGGCGAAGGCAGCCCCCUGGGAUAACACUGACGCUCAUGCACGAAAGCGUGGGGAGCAAACAGGAUUAGAUACCC
rnacentral:rRNA from 1 species